UUAGUCUUGUUUCUAUGAUUGUCAUACUUGUGGUUUACUGAUUUAGGAGUAUCCCAUACUUGACUAAGCAUUGGUACCAUCUGUUGAUGUUCGGUUCUUUAUGCUUGCUACUGUUAUGACUAUUCUAUUGAGCUUCUAUGAAUCUAAGUUAUUGGCUAUCUAUUGUGGUUGAUCUACAUGAUGCGAUGAAGAUGGUUGUUGAGGUUGUUACCUCACUUUGAUUAUUCCUCUUGGAAGGAACUGAUGUCCUGCCUCAAACUCUCCUCCUUGCUCCUCCUCCCUUCCUUGCUAUUCUCUUGAAUAUUUGGUGAAAUUAUAGUGUUGAGAAUGAGGGGGUGAGAAGGAGAUUGGGGCUGUUUAUAUAGUGCUAAGCUAUUGGAAUCUAUGUUUGAGACUUGGAGGCAAAGGCUCCUAUUUUAGGGUUGCUAGCUCUUUCUCUUUCGAGCUUGAUGAUUGUGAGAUUCUUGCCGUUUUGGUGAUUGUGGCUGAUCUUCUUGGCUGAUUUCUCGGCCUUGAUCGACGGGGAGGUACACGGAGGCAUUCUUGGAGCUUGUGGAGGGGAGCAAAAUCGAGAAUAAGAAUGAGAGGGAAAGAAAGAAGAUGCUCCUCUUGAGCUCAUUUGGUUCUAUCCCCAAUUUAGUUUGCUUCCAAACUUGAGAAUUAAAGAAGUAGGAUAGAUAGUGUAGAAUAGGUGCAUGUUGAUUUUAUCACACUUGCAGGCAUGUACUAUUUCCAUCAUCCAUGUAUUUUAUUCCUCAAAAACUAUCUAAUACAAGCAUAGUUUUUACUUUUA